CCUACGGGUGGCAGCAGUGAGGAAUAUUGGUCAAUGGACGAGAGUCUGAACCAGCCAAGUAGCGUGAAGGAUGACUGCCCUAUGGGUUGUAAACUUCUUCUAUAAAGGAAUACAACGAGGCACGUGUGCCUUUUUGCAUGUACUUUAUGAAUAAGGAUCGGCUAACUCCGUGCCAGCCGCCGCGGUAAUACGGAGGAUCCGAGCGUUACCCGGAUUUAUUGGGUUUAAAGGGAGCGUAGAUGGGUUGGUAAGUCAGUUGUGAAAUUUAGAGGCUGAACCGUAAAAUUGCAAUUGAUACUGGGAGUCUUGAGUGCAGUAGAGGUAGGCGGAAUUCGUGGUGUAGCGGUGAAAUGCUUAGAUAUCACGAGGAACCCCGGUUGCGAAGGCAGCUUACUAAACUGUGACUGACAUUGAUGCUCGAAAGUGUGGGUAUCAAACAGGAUUAGAUACCCGUGUAGUC
rnacentral:rRNA from 1 species